UAUUAUAGAGUUUAUUAGUAUAUUCCGUUUUUAUUGUUGAUAUAGUAUUUUCCGCGUUAACCUUGGAAUAGAGUAACCAAAUCUUAUUAAGAUUAAAGGUACCUCUUCCGUAAUCGGGUAGGUAGGUCGUUAUCAAACGAAUUCAUGACUUUUCAUCCAAUUUAAAGCAAUUGGAAAAAAACUCGUGAUUCGUUUCUUUCGCGAUUGCUUGCUUUUUGACAUUUAAUAAGUAGAGUAGAGUCAUAGCUCGUGGGUCUCCAAAAGCAGCAACCUCCAAGCGGUGAGACCCGGGCAAUCGAUAUUACUUGGGAUGUUUUUCAUUUAUUUCUUUAUUCAUUUAUUAACAACGCAAGUACUGUCGAGCUAAUGGCUGCAUCUAAAUUCAGUCCAAAUUUAAAUGUUUCAUCCUAAGUUUCUAUCUUUCGGAUUACUUUUUAAUUGAAUAAUAUAUUGAUGAUCAAUAGAUAAAUCUAAUAUAAUAAAAAUAAAUCUAAUAUAAUAAAAAUAAUCUAAUAUAAUAAAAAUAAUUAAUAUAGUUUUAAAAGAUGUAUUAAUAUAAAUUAAACAAAUAAGAUUUUAGAUAUAUAAGGAUUUUGAAGAAACUCACGAAGGAUAUAGAAGAAAGAACAUCCUGUUGUCAAAAGAAAGGAUAAAAAAAACGUUUAAGGAGUUUCAAGCGAGGAACGACACGAGCUUAGACAAUUAGUCCAUAAUUAACUCGGAGACAGACGUUGGAGCUACGCUUGGAGCAUAAAACGCUAUCAACCCUUCGGAUACAACAACCGGGUUUAUGGGAGUAUGCAUAGAAGCAAAAAUAACCAGACACCAGAUCACCCCUUUCACGAAUGCAGACGCACGUUCUAUUCGAGUCUGUCUGUCUACUGAAAUGAAUUAUUUUAAUCGUCUUUUUAUUAUCCUCAUCAUUGGAUAGCUUAGAAACAUAGCUUGAAAAUUCAUUCGUCGUAUUUUAUCUUUCUCUCGUUCGAUUCUCUUAACAGAUAGAAAGGACAUUUUCAAUCUUGGAGAGACACGUGUUUCAGCACGAGUUUACGAUCAGAACGAUUUAUUAGCUCGUCUAACUGCUUGAUAAUCUUGUAUACGCGCGUGUCUAAGCAUUAAUCUUCAAUCUUUGCUUUCAAAUUUGAAUCAAAUUAUUAUAUCAAUGUUCCCUUCAUUUAAAACAUAUGUAUUUAUAUAUAUGUUCGUCAGAUUUGUGUAUAUAUAUAUAUGUUCGUCAGAUUUUUGUCGUUUUUAUUAAGUUAAUCUGACUAAGUGCAAACACGUUUCAAGAUAGCACUCCCAAUAUUGAAAUAUUUUUAAUUAGGAACGACAUGAGUCAGCUAUUCAUUUCGAAUUGGUUGUAAAAUCGUGAACGCCUGUCUUGCAAGAAAUGAUGAAUUUCAAAAAUGAGUAUGAAAUUAUUUGUCGUCGCAGCGAUCGAAUUUGGAGUAUCGAACGAAGUAAUAUCUUCCUUUUCUUUUUUUCUUUUUUCAAAUAUAGUUUCGUAGCAAUUAAUAAUAAAUAUAAGUUUUUAGGAUAUUCAUCGCAUUUAUUUACUCUUGGAGAGUCACGUUGAUUCUUGGAAGAAAGAAGUAUACGCAAGAUUCUGAUUCAUCGUGAAAUACCAAGGAGCUUACACACGAUUGUCUGCGAACUUAGAUCUCUUCAGGUGCAUUCGAUCUUUGUUCGAACAUUUAUUUUCUUUUAUUUUUCUCUCUUUUUCUUUUCUUUUUCCUCUUAAAGAAUCGAAAGAACAAAGAUCGAAACGUAAGAUACUUUUGUCUCGUGCGCGGCUAAUGAAAGGGAAAAAUUCAUGUGACUGAUGAAGAAAGCAAGAAGAGUCCGUCUGUCAAAACGAAGUCUGUGCCUUGUCAAGGGACGUCUUUAAGGUGAACAUGAAAUUGGAAAGGAUAAUCAUCACCGCAAAAAGUGUCCAUAAAAAUCAUAACAAUUUUUUACAAUCGUAUAAUUACGAACUUCGUGGAAACUUAUCGAGCAUGAAGAUUGAAUCACCAAGUCCAUUCAUACAUAAACUCGUUUGAAUCGUAUAUCCAUUGAAAGCUUAAACGAGCCCCUGCGGUCGUCGUUCCGAGCUCCCGGCUCUCUGAGAAAGGAAAGCGAACGAGUGAGCGAACGAACGAACGAACGAACGAACGAAAGAGAGAAUGAGAGAGCGAGUGGUCUCCUCUCUUUGUCAGAAGAGACCUAUUGUCUCUCCCAGGAUGGAUGGGAACCGCGGCACCUCCGGCAUGGAUGGUGGAUAUAGUCUCGGAGAUUAUUUCUUCGAGUAGGUAGGGUAACCUGUGCUCAGAAACAAGCUGAAAAAGUGUUCAUUUAUUUAUUACCAAUGGAGAUAAAUUUUUUCUUUCUUUUUUUUUUUCUUUCCAUCUAAAUCUUAUUAGGUCAUUUCUUCAAUUCAAGAACAAGCUACAAACGUUCGUCUAUUUGCCAACGAAGAUUCGUUUUUUAUUUUUAUUAUUAGAUCUCUUCUUUUUCUUCUUCUUUUUCCUCUUCUUCUUCUUAUUAUUAUUACUACUUUUUAAAAUUGUAUGGCUAAUUCAUAUUUAUUUCAUCGAGCAUGUGUUCAAAAAAAAGAAAGGAAAAGAAAAGAAAGGAUUUUCUUAGUUUUUUAUUUAGGUGUACCUAACUGUACACCUGUCUUCCGUAUACGUUAAAAGAUUUAAUGAUAAAUCACUUCCCUCGUAAGAUGACGCACAAUUGUGUCUUAUAAUGAUGAUUAAUGUUAUAGACCAGGUAAUGUUAAAGAAGUAUUGAUACAUAUAGAUACAUGUAGAGGUACUAUGUAUCCGUUAAAAGUUAAGUGUGUUUAUUUUGAUCAUUUGACAGAUCUUAAUCUUAACAGAUAUCUCUAAUGUCUGCCUGUAAGUAUAAUUUUUCGUUGUUACGAUAUGUAAAGUAUAUUUUUUAUUAAGAGAACUAAAUGAUUUCAUUUAAACGGUAAGAAGAUAAAAAAGGAUCAAUAAAUCCGAUCGAGAUUCGUUUUAUCUCGAAUGAGAUAUACGAAAUGUGGAUUGUAUGUGUCUUUUUCUCUUUCUCUCUCUCUCUCUCUCUCUUUCUUUUUUUCUCUCUUUCUUUCAAAGAUACCUUCUUUUCAGGGAGAUUCUUGCUUCCGUUUGAAUUCUUGACAAGGUAACGACCAAGAAACGGCAUAUCUACUAUAUAAGUACAUGCGACUCGACGUGUCGUUUGUAAGUACGUAGACACGUGUACGUUGACGAAUACAAACGCACAAACACACACACGUCAAACUUCGGAACGCCAAAGCAAGCAGAACUUCCGUUGCUCGAGGCGUAGUCGAAGUUGUCGACACCGUCAAAAGGUGUAGGAAUUUAAUUCGGUGGUAAUAAAGGAAGUUGAAACGUUGGAAUGCAAAGUCUUAA